AGUUGGGGCCCAGGGUUGAAUCACAGACGCUUUUGUUCGGGGCUCCCCGUUCCCGCGGAGGCCUGCUGUCGAUCAAGAAGCACGCCCCGCCCCCCUCGGCCUUUCACUGCUGCAGCUGGCUGCUCGCCGUCUGCUCUCUGCAAUCUGUGCUGGAGGCCGAAGGAGCGGCAGCUUCAAUAUUACACCCGGCCUACAGACGCUUAUGACGCUCGCCACCAAAGAUCACAAAUAACACGAGCGUUCGGAAAAGUUGAAGAUGCUGUUUGGGUUGGCGAAGUUGACUAGCCAGCGGACCCGUUGAGAAAUCAAAAUGGCUUCCAUCUUUGUCGUCUCGGCAGAGAGGUUUAUACCUUUGUUUCCCCGUCUCGCAUGUCAGGGAGUCUGUGAGUAACCUCAUUUUUAUAUACUUAUCUAGUGGAUUAUUGUCAAUCGAACCUUCGAAUGAAGAGUUUGGGUGUUUACUUCACUGGUUUUUAUUUAUUUUGUUACUUACCCAGUAGCGCACUUUUUGCCCACGUCAGUGCGGUGGGGGAGGGGAGGUGAGUCUGUGGGCGGAGCCUGUGUGAUACGUGCACUGUGGAUGAAUUAUCCAUUGCCCCCUUCGCUGUAAGUUUGAUUUAGUUUAGAGUUUAGACUAUAGCUACUUGAAGAAUUGUUUACUGAUUUUUUUCUUCUUCAUUCAUUUCUUUUGAUUUGUUCUGUGCCACCACUUGCAAUGUAGAAUUCCAGUUUCCUCAAACUGAAACUGUUAUACCUAAGAGCACAUGGAGAUCUGAAAUUCUUUCUGGAUAUAGAGUGCUGCAGGAAUGACACAUUUUUGUAACGUUAGGCCAUUCUAGAAGUUGGCAUCAUACUGGUUCCCUUGAAAGAAAAAAAAAAACUAAAAGGAUUUUUUCACUGACUUCUGGAUAAUUGCAAAAAAUAAGCGAAGUGAACAAUGAAAGUUUAUGAUUCUCAUAUGUUUUGCUCAUUAUUAUAAUCUUUAAUAAUAAUCACAGAUGAACAGCUUUGAUGACUAAAUGCAAUCCGCUGAAAUAAAAAGCUAUAUAAACAAACUACA
ensembl:lncRNA